AACGAACGCUGGCGGCAGGCUUAACACAUGCAAGUCGAACGCGUGUAGCAAUACACGAGUGGCGCACGGGUGAGUAACGCGUGGAUAUCUGCCUUUUGGUUCGGAAUAACCCCGGGAAACUGGGGCUAAUACCGGAUGGUUCCUUCGGGAUAAAGAUUUAUCGCCAAAAGAUGAGUCCGCGUACGAUUAGCUAGUUAGUGAGGUAAUGGCUCACCAAGGCGACGAUCGUUAGCUGGUCUGAGAGGACGAUCAGCCACACUGGGACUGAGACACGGACCAGACUCCUACGGGAGGCAGCAGUGGGGAAUAUUGGACAAUGGGGGCAACCAUGAUCCAGCCAUGCCGCGUGAGUGAUGAAGGCCUUCGGGUUGUAAAGCUCUUUUGGCGGGGACGAUGAUGACGGUACCCGCAGAAUAAGCCCCGGCUAACUUCGUGCCAGCCGCCGCCGUAAAAC
rnacentral:rRNA from 1 species